CUGUGCCAAAGGUCGUAUUUGCCCGGCUGGGUCAAAGCUGGGUCACGCAGCACCUUCACCCACAGAUUAAGACCUUUGCCGCCAGCAAGUCUGAAGAAUUCCACAACAACCGAACACCUGCAUCUCCAGAGGAAGGACUUCAACACACAGUCUAGUCAUAAUAAAACAGAGUCUUAAACUUUCUUUGUUUAAUGUUAAAUAAUCAUUUGAUCACUUUGCUCAUUAUAAAUGUAUUUUAAUCAAAUGAAUGAUUAUUAUGCUUUGGGUAAUCAUAAUGAACUAUAAUGAAUCAGUAUACUUAAUUAAAUAAUGUUUUUGAAGAUGUUUAGCGAUGACCUUCACACCUGCUCAUACAGGUCCGUAUCCACAGUAACUCAAAACACAUUUGCUCUGACGCACAACAAGUUUGCUUUGGGAAGAGAAGUGGUUUUGGUAAGUUAGUCAGUUCAGAACAGAACGAGGAAGAGAGCGGAAGUGCGGAACGAACGCCACGGGGAAGGGAGCCUGCAGGCUCCUGUUCCCCCCCACGCUAUUUCUGUCAAGCCAGGCAGAAUAGCUGAAAUGCAACCAGCUAACGCAGACUUGUCCCAGAGUCUUUUGAUUUCUGAGUUAAUUUAAACUUGAGAAAGCGCAUGUGCCAAAUGCUUCAGCAACGUGUACCGAGGUCAACUCUGGACUGGACCGUCGCACACCUUCAUCUUCUCUGUCAGCCAAGGUGGCAUCUGGAAAAACAUCCUCCUUCGGUCCGGAUCUAAAAGAGGGUCCUAAAUGCGGUCCCAGCGGCGUGUAAAAACGUUCCAUUCCUCGAUGGACAUGCCGACAUCCACUCUCGGUCGAUCCAGCGCAGGGCCAGGCAGGCCACGGGUGCAGCGGGUUCGGUCCGGCUCUGAUGGGCCAGGCCAUGGUUUGCCAGCAGCGCCACGGCGAGAGCCUCGGACACGUCGUCGGUGGCGAACGAGCAGGCUGGAACAGAGCAUCUGACGACCACCAUGGCUCCUUCAUGAAGAAAUACACUCCUCGAUGUCUAAUGGCUUUAUUGACAAGGAUGAAGGAGCCCUGCGGCGACAUACAAAGCUGAGUGAGCAGAAGCUCACGGCAGUGUGAAGCAGCAGCAUGGCCUGACAGCCAAAGCUAAGCAAUGCGAUAAAAUAGGUAAACAAAUGCAGCGUGGCUUAGCAUGCAUACUGACAAUGUGACCAUUACAUUAGCUUAACAAGCAGGUGAAGACUUACAGAUACAAGUCGAACAGUAGCAUGGAUAGACAGUAGUGUGAUGGUUGAGCAGCAGCAAUACAAAUGAGAAGCAGCAGUAUGUACAGUCAGGGAUGGUCACAUGCACGUGACUUCAGGCACAUCCCUGAAUACACCUUUUUCCCUCGAGGUUUGAUCACAGCACAUCCUAGAGGCCAGUGGUGACUUCUGCACAUGUUAUGGCUAUGUGGGUUUUGUGAGCCAGGAUAUACACCUAGCUUAUGAAUGGUAUCUUGUCUGUUACCCAAACAUUUUUGGCCGAUCACACUAACUGAUAGAGUAACACACGGCAUAUAUAAGUUAUAUAUACAUUUUUAACCAUCACUCUCUCCAUUCAUGCAGUUACGUGUGGUCUGAGGAGGGAAGGCAGUCAUCGUGACUAAUUAGACCAAUAAUGCUAUAGUAGGAAAUCAAGUGUGUCCACUGACUGGUUUAUGUAUGAUUUCAACAUGUUUAUGGCCAAAACUGCUGAAAUUUACCCGUUUCCUGAUCAAAUACUUAAACCCAAGAGGAGGCGAUGAACUAGCUGCCUUGCUCUCACUCCUGCACACAUGCAGUGGCGGUUCUACAUCGAAUUACUCCCCGGGCGAGGCCCCCUUUGAGC
ensembl:lncRNA